CCACACAAGGCAGGCGCCCGGCACACCGCAAAGUCGCGGGAUCAUAACCUGCCCGCCUCGCCCCAAAGACCCAUUCCCCAAACGCAAACACGCUCUUCUCUCCACACUUCUUGCACACUGUCGCCGGCCGAGGUCUCGCUUCAACUCCACCGCCUCCGGCCAGCGCAGCGGCGAGUCUCCACGAGAUACGGCCCAACACUGGCGCCCGACCAGGCUGUCCUGCGCAGCGAGGUAAAGCACAGGCGCAAGCCAGCCCAGCACCCCUUCCCAUCCCGAGGGUCCCCCAGCUGCUCCCGCCCCCGCCGUCUGCCCGCCGCCAUUUUGUGCGCAGCCGCUGCGACACAUACAAUAGUAAGCCCAGACCUCACAAGAAAGGCCCAGGACCCCUGUGCUUCGGACUUCCGCCUUCCUGCCCCCUGCUCCCCACAAGGCAGCGGUCCUACCUAUGCCUACCGACUAACAGCGGGAUCCUAUUUGCGCCCCACACAGUCUAGCACUCAGCCUCCAGUCGCGACGCCGAAGAAGCUACCGCCUCCAAAGAGCUGCACGCAUGCGCGUCCCUCCAGCCCCGUCGAGCCCUUGUCGGCUCCCGGCGCCUGCGUACGACUGAUACCGUGCUCGCUCGCCUAAAGCAGGGAAAAGGGAGUGACGGCCUGUUUCCGGAAGGGGGCGCUCCCGCAGUGUGGUGCCCGGUGCAGACUCUAACUCGUUUGUUCUGAGCCCACCGAAGCCGGCUCAUCCUAUAAAAUCUGUAUCAUGUUCACCUCCUGCACGAAGACUUCCCUGAUCGUUUUUCCUUUGAAGAUCAAAAAAAAUUCACCUGGCACUUAAUCAUAAUGCUUUUUUUUUUGGUUUUUUCAGACAGGGUCUCCCUAAGGAGUCCAGGCUGGCCUCAAACUCAGGGUGAUCCUCCUGCCUCAGGCACUCAAGUGCUGGGAUUACAAGCCUGCACCACCACCGUUCCCCGCACUUAGGGUAUUGCCUGCUCUUACCCUCUUGCCUGGUACUUUUUUCCCCCAUUAAUUCCCAGCAAUGAUGUGAUGUAUAUUGUGACCUCUCAAAAUAUCAGGAAAUUGGAACUCAGAGAAAACUUACUUAAAAGCGUGACAUUGUGAAAUCUUUUUAUAUGUCAUAUAACAAUAAAAAAGACUACCUAUGUGAUAGACAUUUACAGUCUUCAUUUUACCCAUGAAAACCUUGGGUUGACAGUUUACGUGACUUUGUAUACAUUAUUUUUUUUCCUUAAAUUCUUUUAUUGGUACAUUUUAGGUAUACAUUUACAUUUACCAUUGGGUGCUUGUACCCGUACAUGAUGUAUCUUGUUUCUUAUUUUUUUCCCCAUUACCUGUGCGCCCUUCACCCCCUCCACCCUUCCCUACAGACUUUGUUUCCAUUUUUUUUGUAGCAGAGAUAUUUUAAGACAACCUUAUCAUAUUUUCUGUUAAUUUUGAAAAUUUUACUACGAGUGAUGUUUAUGCAUUGAGUACAUAAUGACAAACUAGAAUGCCUCAGCCUGUAGAGUGCCAGGAUUACAGGCAUGCACCACCACACCCAGCUCAAAGAGCUGGUUUUGAACUUCUGGCUAUAUUGAUGGCUAUAUUGAUUAAAGCUCCUUUCCUGCCCCUCACCACUGCUGGUCUCCUUGAUUGGCUUUAUGAAACAGAUGCCUGAGCUUGGUCUUUUAGGGCCCCUACAGCUGGGGCUUUUGCCCUAAAAUUUGUGUAACAGUUCUUCAAAACUUUUCUCUAGAUAUUUUAUGAUAAAAAGUCUCUCUCCUGCCGGGCGUGGUGGCACACGCCUGUGAUCUCAGCACUCAGGAAGAUCUCAGUGAGUUUGAGGCCAGCCAGGGUUACAUAGUGAGUUUAAGGCCAGCCUGAACUAUAUAGCAAGACCCUGUCUGAAAAAAAACAAAACAAAAUAAGUUUCUCUCCUCCACAAUCAAAUUCAUUUCUCCGGAGUUUAGAGAAAGCUUGCUGACUUUUUGUUUUUGGCUUCUUGCCCCAGGCAGAAUUUUUUGUUUGGGGUUGUAGCUGGGUUCAAUCCCCAGUACUGAAGGGGAAAAAAAAGGAAGGGAGGGAGGGAAGGAGAGAGAGAAGGGAGCAAAAAAAGAAAGGAACCACUAAGAAGGCAGCAUUUGAGCAGAAACCUGACUGUCAUGUGAAUAUGCAGUACAGACAUCCAGGAAGAAGAGGAUUCCAUCAAAUAUGAAAGACCUGAGGUGAAAGCCAGCUUGGCCCACUUGACAACAGCAAGAGGCCAAAGAAGCUGAAAGAGAAUGAGUAAGAAAAUACAGGACAUGAAGUGGAAGGGACCUAUUUAUACUAUU
rnacentral:lncRNA from 1 species